ensembl:lncRNA
GGAGUGGGGAUGGACGGAGAGAGUCGGGACGAACGGAGAGUGUGGGGACGGAGGGAGUGGGGACGGAGGGAGAGUGUGGGGACGGAGGGAGAGGGGACGGAGGGAGUGGGGACGGAGGGAGAGGGGACGGAGGGAGUGGGGAAGGACGGAGUGGGGAUGGACGGAGAGAGUCGGGACGAACGGAGAGUGUGGGGAUGGACGGAGAGAGUCGGGACGAACGGAGAGUGUGGGGACGGAGGGAGUAGGGACAGAGGGAGUGGAGACGGAGGGAGAGUGUGGGGACGGAUGGAGAGUGUGGUCACGGAGUGAGUGGGGACGAACGGAGAGUGUGGGGACGGAGGGAGUGGGGAUGGAGGGAGAGUGUGGGGACGGAGGGAGUGGGGAUGAGGGAUGGGGGACGGAGGGAGUGGGGAUGAGGGAGUGGGGACGGAUGGAGGAAGUGGGACGGAGAGAGUGGGGACGGAAGGAGAGAGUGGGGACGGAAGGAGAGAGUGGGGACGGAAGGAGAGAGUGGGGACAGAGGGAGAGAGUGGGGACGGAUGGAGGGAGUGGGGACGGACGGGGAGUGGGGGACAGAGGGAGUGGGGACAGAGGGAGUGGGGACAGACGGAGAGUGUGGGGAAGGAGGGAGUCGGGACGGACGGAGAAUGUGGGGACGGAGGGAGUGGGGAUGGACGGAGUGGGGAUGGACGGAG